UACAUAGGGUGCAAGCGUUGUCCGGAAUUACUGGGCGUAAAGAGCUCGUAGGGGGUUUGUCGCGUUGUUCGUGAAAACUCACAACUCAAUUGUGGGCGUGCGGGCGAUACGGGCAGACUGGAGUACUGCAGGGGAGACUGGAAUUCCUGGUGUAGCGGUGGAAUGCGCAGAUAUCAGGAGGAACACCGGUGGCGAAGGCGGGUCUCUGGGCAGUAACUGACGCUGAGGAGCGAAAGCGUGGGGAGCGAACAGG
rnacentral:rRNA from 1 species